GAUGAACGCUGGCGGCGUGCUUAACACAUGCAAGUCGAACGGUGAAGGAGGAGCUUGCUCUUCUGGAUCAGUGGCGAACGGGUGAGUAACACGUGAGCAAUCUGCCCUUGACUCUGGGAUAACAGUUGGAAACAGCUGCUAAUACCGGAUACGAGACGUGACCGCAUGGUCAACGUUUGGAAAGAACUUCGGUCAAGGAUGAGCUCACGGCCUAUCAGCUAGUUGGUGAGGUAAUGGCUCACCAAGGCGACGACGGGUAGCCGGCCUGAGAGGGUGACCGGGCCACACUGGGACUGAGACACGGCCCAGACUCCUACGGGAGGCAGCAGUGGGGAAUAUUGCGCAAUGGGGGAAACCCUGACGCAGCGACGCCGCGUGAGCGAAGAAGGCCUUCGGGUUGUAAAGCUCUGUGUAAGGGACGAAGGAGCUGGGUAGUAACUGACCUGGCGGUGACGGUACCUUACCAGCAAGCCCCGGCUAACUACGUGCCAGCACG
rnacentral:rRNA from 1 species